rnacentral:lncRNA from 1 species
GGGUCUCACUAAUUAGCGACAACAAGCGUCAAGAAGCGACAACAAGCGUCAACAAGCGACAAGAAGCGACAACAAGAAUUAUUUUAGCGACAAGAAGACUAUUUAGCGACAAGAAAACAUUUUUUUUUUAUUAGAUAUAAAUAAAUUUGUAUUUAAUGGUUUUUUUUAAAUAUACGAGCAGAUAUGUCUAAUUAAAAUGUUUUAUUAUAUAGAUAGACGAAGAAAGGAAACAUUUGUGAGGAAGAAAGAGAUUGUGAAGUUUAUAUUAGUAUAUUGGUAGAUGAAGAAAUUAAACAUUUGUGAAGAAGAAAGAGAUUGAGCUUCUUUUUUUUAUUUUUAAAUAUGAAGAAUAUGUAUAAGAUAAUGUAUGUAUCUGUUUUCAUCAAAGUCAAAGUAUGAAUAAACGAAUGGAGAUAUAUAUGGAGCGGGCAUAAUGGAAUAUAAUAUGUUGAUUCAUUUGCUUAAUACUAUGCUCUAAGUGUACUCUUGUUAUGUCAAUUCGAUGCUUUAUUUGUAGAACUCUCAGCCACGCUUUGCCAUCUUUAUUAUUUAAGCGUGUUUCCAGACCCCACGACGAGGACGUGGUUCUACCUUGGGGUCCAUAUAAUUUAUUUUUUUUCUUUUUUAAUUAUUUUUAGUCAUUAUAUAGUAAUAUGUACAUUCCUAUCUAACAUAAUAUUUAUACAUUUUGUACAUGGUGGUCCCAUUUUGAUAAGCCGUAGAUUUUUACCACUAAGGUUCACUGUAUUUUUGCCCUUUUUGAAGUUGUAGUUUUAGCAUUUUUAAUACGUUUCCGUUGGCAAGGUUUACGUGCAUAUGUACUUGUUUUGGGGAUUGUCAGCCCACCAUCUGUUGAAGUGGUGGACUCUGGGAUUGCGUUCAACUUUCUCCCAUGAGUCAAGAAUUUUUGCAAUGCAAAGCAAAAGCCUUUUCUUUCUCCGAUUUAAUCUGCCAUAGAGCUUUUGUGCAUUGAAAAUGGCUUACUGAGGAGCUUAGCUCAAAGUCUCCAUGUCCAUAAAGUGCGCCAUUGACAAGACUUUCUUGCAACUUUAUUUCUUUGUGAAUUUUAUUAAUUAACUCUGGAAGUUUCUCAGGCUUCCAAUCUUGAUUUAGUUUCAAGAUGUGAUUGAUUGAUUCACAAUUAUUGUUUUUCCAUUGCAAUGGAAUUCUCGACUCUGUUUUUCGAGCAUUGUACACGUAAUCCCUUAUAGUAGGAAUAACUUUUUGCGUAAGAUAUGGACCAACGAGGUCUUCAUAUUUUCUUUCAAUAUCAGUAACCUAAGUGGAAAAAUCUACCGUCGUAUCUGCUUCUAUCAGACCGUUAUCCCCAAAUAAGUCUGAUAAAAUUUGUUUUGCGUUCUUGUCAUUUACGCCAACCUUUGUUCUCAAAUGCCUUGUAACAUUUUCACUCUCAAGUGCCUUGUGCACAAUGUGAGUUCAGAUGUUGGAAAACUGUCUUUGAUAGCUUUUACUAAAGCCUUUUUCUCAUCUGAACCAAUCACAAGAUUGCUAUAACUAACCAA